rnacentral:rRNA from 1 species
GAUGAACGCUGGCGGCGUGCCUAAUACAUGCAAGUCGAGCGAACAGACGAGGAUCUUUCUCCUCUGACGUUAGCGGCGGACGGGUGAGUAACACGUUGAUCACCUACCUAUAAGACUGGGAUAACUUCGGGAAACCGGAGCUAAUACCGGAUAAUAUAUUGAACCGCAUGGUUCAAUAGUGAAAGACGGUUUUGCUGUCACUUAUCGAUGUAUCCGCGCCGCAUUAGCUAGUUGGUAAGGUAACGGCUUACCAAGGCAACGAUGCGUAGCCGACCUGAGAGGGUGAUCGGCCACACUGGAACUGAGACACGGUCCAGACUCCCACGGGAGGCAGCAGUAGGGAAUCUUCCGCAAUGGGCGAAAGCUUGACGGAGCAACGCCGCGUGAGUGAUGAAGGUCUUCGGAUCGUAAAGCUCUGUUAUUAGGGAAGAACAAAUGUGUAAGUAACUAUGCACGUCUUGACGGUACCUAAUCAGAAAGCCACGGCUAACUACGUG